GACGAACGCUGGCGGCGUGCUUAACACAUGCAAGUCGAACGGAAAGGCCCUGCUUUUGUGGGGUGCUCGAGUGGCGAACGGGUGAGUAACACGUGAGUAACCUGCCCUUGACUUUGGGAUAACUUCAGGAAACUGGGGCUAAUACCGGAUAGGAGCUCCUGCUGCAUGGUGGGGGUUGGAAAGUUUCGGCGGUUGGGGAUGGACUCGCGGCUUAUCAGCUUGUUGGUGGGGUAGUGGCUUACCAAGGCUUUGACGGGUAGCCGGCCUGAGAGGGUGACCGGCCACAUUGGGACUGAGAUACGGCCCAGACUCCUACGGGAGGCAGCAGUGGGGAAUAUUGCACAAUGGGCGGAAGCCUGAUGCAGCAACGCCGCGUGCGGGAGGACGGCCUUCGGGUUGUAAACCGCUUUCGCCUGUGACGAAGCAUGAGUGACGGUAAUGGGUAAAGAAGCACCGGCUAACUACGU
rnacentral:rRNA from 1 species